rnacentral:snoRNA from 1 species
AUCCCAUGAUGAGGACAGGCGGCCACAUACUCCUGAAGUCAUUCCCACGCCUCAGGAAUGGACUCGUCCCUUGUCUGCUAGAAAUUCGAAAUUCUUCCGUGAAGGGC